rnacentral:rRNA from 1 species
UACGUAGGGAGCAAGCGUUGUCCGGAAUCAUUGGGCGUAAAGCGCGCGUAGGUGGCCUCAUAAGUCCGCUGUGAAAGUCAAAGGCUCAACCUUUGAAAGCCGGUGGAUACUGUGAGGCUAGAGUACGGAAGAGGCGAGUGGAAUUCCUGGUGUAGCGGUGAAAUGCGCAGAUAUCAGGAGGAACACCGGUGGCGAAGGCGGGUCUCUGGGCCGAUACUGACGCUGAGGAGCGAAAGCGUGGGGAGCGAACAGG